GGAGAGAGCCCGGUUGGUCAUGGAAGCUGUCUUGAAAACAGUCUUGGUGUAAAAACCGCAAGAGUUCGAAUCUCUUUCUCUCCG
rnacentral:tRNA from 1 species